CAACAACUUUGAGAAGAUUCUAUCAGGAACUAGAGAAUUGCAGAUGCUCUGGCACUUUUAAAAGAAUCCAUCAAGAGAGGAGGAUUAUGGGCAAACGAACCUUCAAGGAAAGACUCUGGCUUACUGUGGCCUGAAACUGAUGCCUUGGUGGCCCGCAAUGCUGGCUUUACCGCAGUUGCCCUCCCUAGAGGACACUGCCGCUCCUCGGAGAGCCACCCUCCUGCCUGUCCCUGCUCGUUUCUGCAGCAGUGUCCCCUCUCCAUUCACCCGUGGGGCCUCUGCUGCUGCUGAUCCCUUUUAGAAGUCCUGCAGCAGGAACGUCUUCAUUUUCAAUUCUGUUUCUUCCCAAAGGCAUGUUUCUUUGAAAAACAGCAUUACCGGGGCUGAAGAUGAGUUUUAAAGAUGAAGCAAUAUCCUCCAGGAUGUAGAAAUCCUUCCCACUUGGUCUCCACAGCACUCAGCUCUCAGAGCCCCCCAGGAUGGCCCAGGCCCAGAGGCCCACAAGCUCAAGGUGGAGGUGGCCUUCCCCACCCUGACGUCCCAGCUCCAGGGAUGGGCACAUCCUCAGUCACAGUGACCAGGUGCUCAGAGAAGUGGGAGAGUUCCCCAGCCCUGUGGCCAUACAGACAGGUGUCCAGUAGGGAGGUAGAGGACAAGGCCACGGCAGGAGGCCAUUUCCAGGGCCUAUAGAGGAACAGACAGCCACGGCAUAGGGAAGUCGAGUAUGUGUUGAACAAUGGCCUUAGGUGAACGGGCAGCCUUUCCCAAAGAAUCUGUCCUUGAGGUAUUAUGUGGGCCAGAGGCAGAAUUUGGAACCUCGCAUCUCUGGUUGGAGUUAAGAGUAUAAAAUAAUUAGAAACCCUGGUUCGGCUCCACAUCAGCCUUUGCAGUCCACCCUGAAGCUUGGCCAGUGGUCAGAUGCCCUCUCCCUCCCUAGCGUGUGAGGGUCUUCAGGACAAGGACAUAACCGUAUCCCAGAGCGUCUCCAGUCAGGCUCCAUCCAUGACUGAAAACAGCAACACAUUUUAGAGUUGAAGGAGCAGCCCAUGGCUCAGUCACACUGCAUGGUUUCUUUCCUCAUGGUGACUAUUUUUCUGUUACUCUCUCAAAAAAGCAGUGAAGUGAAUUUAAAGAUAACUGCAAAGGGUUGCACAACCCCCCAUGGAGAGGUGGGACUGCGUCCCCUGCCCUGUCCUGAGCAGACGAUGAGACAGCUCAGCCAGUGGAGAAUGGUAGAAGUGACCGUGUAUCUGUUUUGCUGCCCAGAUCUUAAGGAGCUCUUAUUGUAGCCAAGUCCAAAGCUCACACCGCCUGCUGCAUGACAGUCAAUAAGUUCAGAGGCAAAGUGCUGGGGCAAGAAAGAUGAUUUUAUUCUAGGAGUCAGCAAAGUGAGAAGACGGUGGACUAAUGCCCUGAAGAACCAUCUGACGCUGAUACAUUUUUAGGCUCCUUCUAUGUUAGAGGACAAGCAAACAGGGAACGGUUAAGGUGCGGAGGUGACAGGUGACCUCUGGAUGUCAAAAGGGGCCUGAAGAGGUUGCAAAACUCUUUUCUCUUUGCUCCUGGUCUACUACUUGUCAGAUCCACCUUGUUCCUGUAAAUCUUUAAAAUAGCACUGUUGUGUGUGUGAUUCUUUAUGUCCUCGGGGGUGUGUUUCAACAGAGAGACAGUCAUUAGUGCCAAAGUUAAACUGCAAUCUAAAUUCUUCCCGUGAUUAGCUUGGUCUACAUGCAGGAAUGAGCAAAGGCAGUGGCUUGUGAGAUCAGAAGCAAGAUGGAGUCACCUAUGUCAGAUUCCUCCCGCUGUUCCUUUGGCUUCCACUUCUGGCUGUUACGGUGAUUGCUCUCAGAAUGUUUCCUCAGGAUCACUCUUUUUCUCCCUGGGAGUACAAUGCUCUGAGAAGCCCAAGACUCACGUGAAGGCCACAGGCAGGCUCUGGGAUUGAGUCCCCCGGGCCCAGCCUUCUAUCCUCACCAGGCACCAGGCACAUGAGUGGAGCCGCCCUGAGCCCCAUUCCAGACCAUCCUCCACUUCAUGCCUCCAGGGACCUCUGUCAAAGCCAUGUGGAUCAAAGCAGGGCCUCACCAAGCACGGCUCGAAUGCCUGACAAAAUCAUGACGUGUAAUAAAAUGUCUCUUGUUGUAAGUCAUUAACUUUUGAGGUAAUGUGUCACAUGGUGCCACUUGAUUUUAGCAGCAGGUAACUUACUCACAUGGGUUGAACUCUGCAUUUCCAUAGGCUUCUGCUGACAGCCUAGUGGUCAGGCCACUUGGGAUUUA
rnacentral:lncRNA from 1 species